rnacentral:rRNA from 1 species
GAUGAACGCUAGCGGCAUGCCUAAGGUAUGCAAGUCGCGCGAAAUAUCACCUUCGGGUGAUGGAAAGCGGCGGACGGGUGAGUAACGCGUAGAAACAUACCCCAAAGUGAGGGAUAAUUCCGGGAAACCGGGACUAAUACCGCAUACUGUCUACGGACAAAAGAUUUAUCGCUAUGGGAAUGGUCUGCGUCCGAUUAGCUUGUUGGUGAGGUAAAGGCUCACCAAGGCGAUGAUCGGUAGCUGGUUUGAGAGGAUGAUCAGCCACACUGGAACUGAGACACGGUCCAGACCCCUACGGGGGGCAGCAACUAGGAAUCUUCCACAAUGGGCGAAAGCCUGAUGGAGCAAUGCCGCGUGCAGGAUGAAGGACCUUGGUUCGUAAACUGCUUUUAUAUGUGAAGAUUAUGACGGUAGCAUAUGAAUAAGGAUCGGCUAACUACGUGCCAGCAGCCGCGGUGAUACGUAGGAUCCAAGCGUUAUCCGGAUUUAUUGGGCGUAAAGAGUUGCGUAGGCGGCAGAGUUAGCGAAUAGUGAAAUAGUGUGGCUCAACCAUACGAACAUUAUUCGAACUGCUCAGCUAGAGAGCGGAAGAGGUAGCUGGAAUUAUUAGUGGAGGAGUAAUAUCCGUAGAUAUUAGUAAGAACACCAAUGGCGAAGGCAGGCUACUGGUCCGUUUCUGACGCUCAGGCACGAAAGCGUAGGUAGCAAACAGGAUUAGAUACCCUGGUAGUCUACGCCGUAAACGAUGGAUACUAGCAUUCGGAGGUGUCGACCCCUUCGGUAGCGAAGCUAACGCGUUAAGUAUCCCGCCUGUGUAGUACGAGCGCAAGCUUAAAACAUAAAGGAAUUGACGGGGACCCGCACAAGCGGUGGAGCGUGUUCUUUAAUUCGAGGCUAAGCGAAGAACCUUACCAGGGCUUGAAAUCCUGCGAAGGUUUGCGAAAGCAGACUGUGCCUUUUAGGAACGCAGUGACAGGUGUUGCAUGGCCGUCGUCAGCUCGUGUCGUGAGAUGUUGGGUUAAGUCCCGCAACGAGCGCAACCCCUAUACUUAGUUGUAUUUUUCUAGGUAGACUGCCUCGGUAACGGGGAGGAAGGAGGGGACGACGUCUGGUCUUUAUGGCCCUUAUGUCCUGGGCUAGAAACGCGCUACAAUGGCCGGUACAAAGAGCUUAAGCGAUGUCGCGAGACGGAGCAAAUCUCAUCAAAGCCGGUCCCAGUUCGGAUAGCAGGCUGAAACUCGCCUGCUUGAAGUCGGAAUCGCUAGUAACCGUAGGUCAGCAUACUACGGUGAAUACGUUCCCGGGUCUUGUACACACUGCCCGUCAAGCUGUGGGAGUCACCAAUACCCGAAGUCUCACAUUCGUGGGCCUAAGGUAGGGGGGAUGACUGGAGU